rnacentral:rRNA from 1 species
UACGUAGGGUGCAAGCGUUAAUCGGAAUUACUGGGCGUAAAGCGUGCGCAGGCGGUUCGCUAAGACAGAUGUGAAAUCCCCGGGCUUAACCUGGGAACUGCAUUUGUGACUGGCGGGCUAGAGUAUGGCAGAGGGGGGUAGAAUUCCACGUGUAGCAGUGAAAUGCGUAGAGAUGCGGAGGAACACCGAUGGCGAAGGCAGCCCCCUGGGCUAACACUGACGCUCAGGCACGAAAGCGUGGGGAGCAAACAGG